GACGAACGCUGGCGGCGUGCUUAACACAUGCAAGUCGAACGGAAAGGCCCUGCUUUUGUGGGGUGCUCGAGUGGCGAACGGGUGAGUAACACGUGUGUAACCUGCCCUUGACUUUGGGAUAACUUCAGGAAACUGGGGCUAAUACCGGAUAGGAGCUCCUGCUGCAUGGUGGGGGUUGGAAAGUUUCGGCGGUUGGGGAUGGACUCGCGGCUUAUCAGCUUGUUGGUGGGGUAGUGGCUUACCAAGGCUUUGACGGGUAGCCGGCCUGAGAGGGUGACCGGCCACAUUGGGACUGAGAUACGGCCCAGACUCCUACGGGAGGCAGCAGUGGGGAAUAUUGCACAAUGGGCGGAAGCCUGAUGCAGCAACGCCGCGUGCGGGAUGACGGCCUUCGGGUUGUAAACCGCUUUCGCCUGUGACGAAGCGUGAGUGACGGUAAUGGGUAAAGAAGCACCGGCUAACUACGUG
rnacentral:rRNA from 1 species